UGGGGAAUAUUGGACAAUGGGCGGAAGCCUGAUCCAGCCAUGCCGCGUGUGUGACGAAGGCCUUUUGGUUGUAAAGCACUUUAAGCGAGGAGGAGGCUACUUGGAUUAAUACUCUAGGAUAGUGGACGUUACUCGCAGAAUAAGCACCGGCUAACUCUGUGCCAGCAGCCGCGGGAAUACAGAGGGUGCGAGCGUUAAUCGGAUUUACUGGGCGUAAAGCGUGCGUAGGCGGCUUUUUAAGUCGGAUGUGAAAUCCCUGAGCUUAACUUAGGAAUUGCAUUCGAUACUGGGAAGCUAGAGUAUGGGAGAGGAUGGUAGAAUUCCAGGUGUGGCGGUGAAAUGCGUAGAGAUCUGGAGGAAUACCGAUGGCGAAGGCAGCCAUCUGGCCUAAUACUGACGCUGAGGUACGAAAGCAUGGGGAGCAAACAGG
rnacentral:rRNA from 1 species